UGGGGAAUUUUGGACAAUGGGCGAAAGCCUGAUCCAGCCAUGCCGCGUGAGUGAAGAAGGCCUUCGGGUUGUAAAGCUCUUUUAGUCGGAAAGAAAGAGUUGCAAUGAAUAAUUGUGAUUUAUGACGGUACCGACAGAAAAAGCACCGGCUAACUACGUGCCAGCAGCCGCGGUAAUACGUAGGGGGCGAGCGUUAAUCGGAAUUACUGGGCGUAAAGGGUGCGCAGGCGGUCUUGCAAGUCAGACGUGAAAGCCCCGGGCUUAACCUGGGAAUUGCGUUUGAAACUACAAGGCUAGAGUGCAGCAGAGGGGAGUGGAAUUCCAUGUGUAGCAGUGAAAUGCGUAGAGAUGUGGAAGAACACCGAUGGCGAAGGCAGCUCCCUGGGUUGACACUGACGCUCAUGCACGAAAGCGUGGGGAGCAAACA
rnacentral:rRNA from 1 species